CAAGCUUAACAGUGAAAUGGUGAAAUAAUUUGCUGCGAGUUAAACCCUGUGACCCUGAGAAGCCACGCCCGCCCAACCUUCUUUCUUUCUUCUCUUCUUCUCUGAAACCCAGCCCAGUCCGCAGACCUCCACACCAACCUUCCGUCCGUCCGUCCGUUCCUACCGCCGGCGACCACCGUCGCUAACCCUCCCUCCUCCCUUCUUCCUUUUCUUUCUUCCCUAUUUCUCCAUUUCUUUCCUCCUGUACGCAACACCCCUGUUUGUGGCGCCACCUCUGUCUGCACCUUCCAGUUCCGGUGAAAACCACCAGCGGCGGCGAAACUCUGUGCCGCUACGACACUACCUCCGCUCCUUACGCUAUCUUCUUUUUUCACUCCUCAACGCAGAGUUAGCAAGUGAAUUGAUGAUAUUGCGUAUCCAUGUAGUUGUUGAACAUAAAUGAUCAUAUACUCUUCCGACACCCUUGAACCGAAGCACAAGCAGUCACCAAGAAACGUGGAAUGGUAAGUAUUGUAUUCCAUUCAUUACGAUUAAUCACAUGAAACCUUACCAGUUACCAAUUAUGAACGCGAGUGUGAUUCAGAAGAGAGACGAGAGGAUGUUUCGGUUGAGUAAGAACAAGGCUUCUUCGAAAUCUGCAGCUGAUACAAGAUUUGAGUUCUGAUUCUCUCAUUUUAAGGCUCUUCAGGUACCCAAGGGAUGGGAAGCUGCUUGUUUCUGUUGUUUCGGUAGAAAGUGGUAAAGCUAUUGCAAAGUCAAGCAAGGUGCUGGUGCAAAAUGGGAGUUGUCAGUGGUCAGAUUCUUUUUCAGAAUUUGUAUUGUUUCCAGGAGAUAAUUCUUCCAAGGAGAUUGAUGAAUGUCUCCUCAAGCUUAUUGUUGCCAUGGGACCAUGAAGAUCUAGUAUCCUUGGAGAGGUCACUGUUAAUAUGGCAAGUUAUGUGAGUUCAAAUGCUGAAUCUCCACUUUCACUCAAGCUGGGUAGAUGGCAACCAUGGGACAGUUUUACAUGUCAGAUAUACAAAUAAAGUUGUCUUACUUUUAUUGAGUGCAGAAACCUGGAUGGUUGUGUUACUGUGGUUGGUUACGCUCGGAUUUAAUUGUAGUCAAGUUUGGGAGAAAAGUAACAUUGGAAAUCUGGAAUAUAUUGCUGAGUAUUGAAUGUA